GUGAGGAAUAUUGGUCAAUGGGCGGGAGCCUGAACCAGCCAAGUCGCGUGAAGGAAGAAGGAUCUAUGGUUCGUAAACUUCUUUUGCAGGGGAAUAAAGUGCAGGACGUGUCCUGUUUUGUAUGUACCCUGAGAAUAAGCAUCGGCUAACUCCGUGCCAGCAGCCGCGGUAAUACGGAGGAUCCGAGCGUUAUCCGGAUUUAUUGGGUUUAAAGGGUGCGUAGGUGGUUUGAUAAGUCAGCGGUGAAAGUUUGCAGCUUAACUGUAAAAAUGCCGUUGAAACUGGCGGACGUGAGUGUAAAUGAGGUAGGCGGAAUGCGUGGUGUAGCGGUGAAAUGCAUAGAUAUCACGCAGAACUCCGAUUGCGAAGGCAGCUUACUAAGCUACAACUGACACUGAAGCACGAAAGCGUGGGGAUCAAACAGGAUUAGAAACCCCUGUAGUCC
rnacentral:rRNA from 1 species